UGUAGCAGCCCAGUUAAGAAAGUAAAGAUGAAUAAAAAUGUUUUAAAAGACUAUGUGCCAAAGUCGCAUACAUAGACGGGUAUUGGAACUCGGUUGUUUACUUCAACGGCAGCUGUGGUCGCCUAAACAGCACCAGGCCCUAUUGUAGGGGUUUGGAGUUUUACGUAUGAUUACGGAUAUGGAAGAUGUAGAAACUGUAUUCAUCAGUUAUGGAGAAUAAAGGAAGCAACAACAA